CCAAUAGCGUAUAUUAAAGUUGUUGCAGUUAAAAAGCUCGUAGUUGAAUUUCGGGGUUAGUAGGUUGGUCAUGCCUCUGGUAUGUACUGGUCUCACUGAUUCCUCCUUCCUGAUGAACCUUAAUGCCAUUAAUUUGGUGUUUUGGGGAAUUUGGACUGUUACUUUGAAAAAAUUAGAGUGUUUAAAGCAAGCUAACGCUUGAAUACAUUAGCAUGGAAUAAUGAAAUAGGACGUUCGAUCCUAUUUUGUUGGUUUCUAGGAUUGACGUAAUGAUUAAUAGGGAUAGUUGGGAGCAUUAGUAUUCAAUUGUCAGAGGUGAAAUUCUUGGAUUUAUUGAAGACUAACUACUGCGAAAGCAUUUGCCAAGGAUGUUUUCAUUAAUCAAGAACGAAAGUUAGGGGAUCGAAGACGAUCAGAUACCGUCGUAGUCUUAACCAUAAACUAUGCCGACUAGGGAUCGGAUGAUGUUAAUUUUUUAAUGACUCAUUCGGCGCCUUACG
rnacentral:rRNA from 1 species